rnacentral:lncRNA from 1 species
AAAACAAUUCAGACGAGAAAACUAACUGCCUCAUUUAUGUACAAAAAACAUUAACGAAAUACAAAUAUGUAACACAUAAACAAACGACAACCACUGAAUUACAGGCUCCUGACUUGGGACAGGCACAUACAUAAAUAAUGUGGCAUGGUUAAACAUGUUAGCGGGAUCCCAACCCUCUCCCUAACCUGGGACAGUGGUAUAACAGUACAACAUAAGAACGAACUAUAAAAAUCAGUUGAAAAAGGCUUAACUCAUCAGAUAGACAAAAAAUACAAGUGGAC